AUUGAACGCUGGCGGCAGGCUUAACACAUGCAAGUCGAACGAGUGGCGGACGGGUGAGUAAUGUCUGGGAAUCUGGCUUAUGGAGGGGGAUAACGUCGGGAAACUGUCGCUAAUACCGCGUACCAUCGGAUGGGCCCAUGUGUGCUUAGGUUGUGGGUGGGGUAAUGGCCCACCAAGGCGACGAUCCCUAGCUGGUCUGAGAGGAUGACCAGCCACACGGGUACUGGGACACGGCCCGGACUCCUACGGGAGGCAGCAGUGGGGAAUAUUGCGCAAUGGGGGCAAGCCUGAUACAGACAGGCCGCGUGUGUGAAGAAGGCCUUCGGGUUGUAAAGGACUUUCGUCGGGGAGGCGGUACGUGAAGAAUAAGCACCGGCUAACUACGUGCCAGCAGCCGCGGUAAUAA
rnacentral:rRNA from 1 species